GUAGUACUCCCUCCGUCCCAUAUUUAAGUGUCGAAAUAUUACAUGUAUCUAGACGCUUUCUAGGCAUAGAUACAUCCAUACUUGGACAAAUUUGAGACACUUAAUAUGGGACGGAGGGAGUAUGUG
rfam:Brachypodium distachyon strain Bd21 chromosome 3, whole genome shotgun sequence.